UGAAUUGUUAACAGGAACUCUCAAAUGUCAAAAGCCCUUUUCCAAGUGAUCAAUUGCCUUCUAUUUAAUCCAGAUUAAUUUUGCUAUAUUCCUAUGCAAAACAAUUGAAUUAAACUCGUUACAAUCCGAAUUCCUUAUGUGUUACAUGUGGCGAAAAGAUAUUUCCAUUCUAUUCACAAACCUAAUAAUUCACUGUGCAAAUAACUAAGUCACAUGAUAUCAUGCCCAGUUCUAACCCUAGAAUUCCUCUUCCAAUUCCUUCUAGAGUAACAAAGUAAUUACUGAUCAAAUAAUUAAGCAAUAAGCACAAGACAAGAUAAACAACUCACUUUAACAUAAAUAAUUAGAAUAUAAUGAAUAACUAAUUCAUAGCCAUAAAAAGUUCAAUUGAAAUCUCAAAAAUAGUUAGUUCAUAAUUAAUGAAUUAAAACCAAG
rnacentral:lncRNA from 1 species